UACAGAGGUCUCAAGCGUUGUUCGGAUUCAUUGGGCGUAAAGGGUGUGUAGGUGGCGCCGUAAGUCGGGUGUGAAAUUUCGGAGCUUAACUCCGAAACUGCAUUCGAUACUGCCGUGCUUGAGGACUGGAGAGGAGACUGGAAUUUACGGUGUAGCGGUGAAAUGCGUAGAUAUCGGAAGGAACACCAGUGGCGAAAGCGGCUUCCUGGUCCAGCACCGACGUUCAGGCACGAAAGCGUGGGGAGCAAACAGG
rnacentral:rRNA from 1 species